GACCAUGCUGGUGGGACUGAGAAGCUGGUGAAGCUGCAGCCUGAGCUGCAGGUUUAUGGAGGUGAUGACCGCACUGGGGCCUUGAUGCGCAAAGUCACACACCUUUCCACUGCAGGACAGAGUGUUACAUUUUAGCACUGAUGUGUGCUAGUGACGCUGUAUUUGUUCAGCAAGAGCAGAAAGACAGCACCACAGUGUUCUAAUAAGCCAUCCAUAUGCCCUGGCUGAUGAGAUUUUCAAAAUUACAAACAGAGGCCACCCUUUCAGUAUAGUGACUGAAAAAUAUAGGUGUUUACAGAAAAAUGUUUAGAUUUAACCUACCGUAGGCUGUGCCUGUUCAGUGAUGCUCGCAUGUGUGUUACAGGUCUGAGUCCUAGGUACUGGAUAACCAGAGACUCCAACAAAUGGCAAAGAUACAAACCAUGGACAGAGAGGUGCGCCGAUCUUGAGGAGGAGAUCUGAGCAUACAGAUGUGCUGUAUACACGGAGCUCCCUGGCUUCCUGUUUG